AUACAUCUAACUGUUUUUUGAACAGUCUGAACUUGGUAUGUUGGGAGCUAACAUCAAAGAACUAUUUUCCCCCAUUCACAUGAGGACUGUGUCAAAUCUGCCUCCUAUCACUUAAGGAGGUUUUGGGAAAAUCAUUCACUUUCGUUUCUAUCACUUCCAGUAACUUAACAGUACGGCUCAGAUGUAAAACUCCCCUUUUACUUGUUCCUGUCACUUCAGCCCAAGCUUGUCUCAUGAUCUAAAAAUCUGUAAUAGGGAAGAGGGUGUGGUCUGAUCUUUCCCCUUCUAUUUUACCUCAUCUAGUUCCAGAUUCUCAAAUCAUAUAGGGCCAGGAGGAGAGGACCAAAUUAUGUCUUAGUUACCUGGCUGCUGGUGGUUGUCUCUGUUUUUUGUAGAGCACAGGUGUAACGGCUUUCAGGGUGGGGGUGGGGAACUCUCCACUGAGUAGUGUGCUGAUGUGGGAGAUCUCUGGCUUGGCCUCUUCCGGCCCUCCUCCCACUCAGCUCCCACCAAUGAUGUAUCAAUAAAACCUCUUGCUGCUGGAGAUCUGCUUACCUGGUGGCCAGGGUGGCAAGACAAGUGAAGCCUGACUAUGCCUGCAGCAUCCACUGUGGAAACUACUACAUCUUUGCCAUGCCAAACACUUCUGCUUAAGCAUGCAGGUGAGAAGGGAAGAUACAUGUAAUCUGCAUGUCUGCCACCAUUCCUUGUUACCCUUUUUCAUAUCCCAUGAGCACAGCACUCCAGCGGACCUACCCAAAAUAUGUGGGAGUUCAGUGAAACUCAAACAGCAUGCUUCUGGUCAGCCUAUACAGUCUCUGUCCUGGUGAGGAGCAUGAUCACCAACAGGCAAGAUCUUCUGGCCUUGAAGUUUCGCUUGAGUUAAAAGAGCUCAUCUCAGGACUUUCUGAAUUUUCAGCCCAUAUGACAUGGAAGAAGAGUUAGAAGGGGAAUCUGACUGCUUGGAUCAGGGACUGUCUGGCUGGUGGAACUUGAAUGUAUACAACACUCUUCAUUUGCAUGUUUUGACAUUUUAAAAAAUGUUUUCACUUUCCUUAUCUACUUUGACUCUAAUAACAUCCUGAAAGUCUGCAGGUGUACCCAACAGCUCCGAAGAGACAGUGACAUCGAGAACGGGCCAUGAUGACGAUGGCGGUUUUGUCGAAAAGAAAAGGGGGAAAUGUGGGGAAAAGCAAGAGAGAUGAGAUUGUUACUGUGUCUGUAUAGAAAGAAGUAGACAUAGGAGACUCCAUUUUGUUCUGUACUAAGAAAAAUUCUUCUGCCUUGAGAUGCUGUUAAUCUAUGACCUUACCCCCAACCCCGUGCUCUCUGAAACAUGUGCUGUGUCAAACUCAGGGUUAAAUGGAUUAAGGGCGGUGCAAGAUGUGCUUUGUUAAACAGAUGCUUGAAGGCAGCAUGCUCAUUAAGAGUCAUCACCACUCCCUAAUCUCAAGUACCCAGGGACACAAACACUGCGAAAGACCGCAGGGACCUCUGCCUAGGAAAGCUAGGUAUUGUCCAAGGUUUCUCCCCAUGUGAUAGUCUGAAAUAUGGCCUCGUGGGAAGGGAAAGACCUGACCAUCCCCCAGACCAACACCCGUAAAGGGUCUGUGCUGAGGAGGAUUAGUAUAAGAGGAAAGCAUGCCUCUUGCAGUUGAGAGAAGAGGAAGACAUCUGUCUCCUGCCCAUCCCUGGGCAAUGGAAUGUCUCAGUAUAAAACCCGAUUGAACAUUCCAUCUACUGAGAUAGGGAAAAACUGCCUUAGGGCUGGAGGUGGGACAUGUGGGCAGCAAUACUGCUUUGUAAAGCAUUGAGAUGUUUAUGUGUAUGCAUAUCUAAAAGCACAGCACUUGAUCCUUUACCUUGUCUAUGAUGCAAAGACCUUUGUUCACGUG
rnacentral:lncRNA from 1 species